rnacentral:rRNA from 1 species
GGAGGGUGCUAGCGUUGUUCGGAAUCACUGGGCGUAAAGGGCGCGUAGGCGGCCAGGCAAGUCGGCUUGUGAAAGCCCGGGGCUCAACCCCGGAGGUGCGGCCGGGACUGCUUGGCUGGAGGCCGGAAGAGGAGGGUGGAAUACCCAGUGUAGAGGUGAAAUUCGUAGAUAUUGGGUGGAACACCGGUGGCGAAAGCGGCUCUCUGGUCCGGUCCUGACGCUGAGGCGCGAAAGCGUGGGGAGCAAACAGGAUUAGAUACCCUGGUAGUCCACGCCCUAAACGAUGCGGGCUAGACGUCGGGGGGCAUGCCCCUCGGUGUCGCAGCGAACGCGUUAAGCCCGCCGCCUGGGGAGUACGGCCGCAAGGUUAAA